rnacentral:pre_miRNA from 1 species
AUUCUACUCCCUCCAUUGCACAAUACAUGUCUUCUAUUUGUCAAAAUAUAUAUGUAUCUAGACAUGUUUUAGUAUAUAGGUACAUCCAUUUUUGGACAAAUGGAAGUCAAGUAUUUUGGAAUGGAGGGAGUACACA